GCCGAGUGUUCAGAUGGGUUCAGCUUUGAGCUGCAGCUUUCUCCAGGAAAACACAGCCCCUGAGACAUGCUGUGCUCACCUGGAGGGCUCUGCCUCCCUCCCUGCCAGACAUCCUCCACGCUGCAGUCCCAUGCCCACAGCGUUCCGGUGGCUCUGCGCUCCCCACCAAGGUUCAGGCUGAUCCUGGUCUCCACCGCCAGCCUCAGCCAAGUGUGCCCUGUCAUUCUGCAGGUGAGACACAGGACCCAAGGCCAUGCCCGUGUGGAGUGAGGAGCAGCCCCGCGCUCACCCGUCACUGCAGACACCCUGCGGCCACCGAGCCCCCCCCCGCGCUGCAGCCUCAGCACAGCCAUGGACAGCGCAGAGGUGGAGUCGGACAUCCUGCGCCGCGUCCGCACGCUGCUGCGAGAGCUGGAUGGGCACCACCCCGCCUGCCAGUGCGACCGAGGUAGGACAGACCCAGGCACGGCCCCGGGGUCAGCACCCGCCCCAAACCCACGUCGCUCCCCGGGGUGGAGGGACACGGGGCAGCCUCACCUCCCUGGUGCUGGUCUGCCCUUUCUAACCUGCUCUUGGAGCUGUCUGCCCCUCAGCAGCUUCCAUCCCUCCUCUACGUGGCUCUUACGUCCUUUAUACCCUCCACUUGCCCAGAAGGUCCAACACUGAGGUGGGAUGACAGUGAAUGCCGGAGUCUGUGAUGCUGUUCCCACACAGACCUGCCCAACUCGCUUAACACCCGUGAACUGGGAGUCUCCCUGUCUCUCCCUAUGGGAUAUUGCUUUGCCACAUGCUGCUCAGCUCCUCCUAAAGAGUCAGCUGGAAUCCUCGUGUUAUGGUUUUGGAGAAGCAAACCCUAGCUGACGUGGCAACUGGACUGCUGCAGUCUCAGG
rnacentral:lncRNA from 1 species